UAUGGCCAUAUCAUGUUGAAAACACUGAUUCAUGUAUGAUCAAUGAAGUUGAGCAAUGCCGAGCCUGGUCAGUACCUAGAUGCAUGACCACUUGAGAAUACCAGGUGCUGUAAG
rnacentral:rRNA from 1 species